rnacentral:lncRNA from 1 species
GUUUACCUCCUUCUCACCUCCACCUACUCACAAACUCAGGGCCUUUGCCUAGUGUCCUAAAAGCAGAGUGUGCUGUUCUCUGUUUUUGUUUUUGUUUUUUAAUUUAUCUAAAACCGAGACAGGUAACAUGUAACAUAAUAAGGUUUCAGGAGUAGAAUGUAGUGAUUCAUCACUUACCUGUAACACCCAGUGCUCAUCCCAACAAGUGCCCUCCUUCAUGCCCAUCACCCAUUUAGCCCGUGCCCCCCACCUCCCCUCCAGCAACCCUCAGUUUGUUCUCUGUAUUUAAGAGUCUCUUGGGGAGCCUGGCUGGCUCAGUCGGUUAAGCAUGCAGCUUCGGCUCAGGUCAUGAUCUCGCGGUCCGUGGGUUCGAGCUCCGUGUCGGCUCCGUGCUGACAGCUCAGCCUGGAGCCUGCUUCGGAUUCUGUGUCUCCCCCUCUCGCUGCCCCUCCCCCACUUGUGUGCACACACUCCGUCUCUCUCACCCUCACUCUCUCUAAAAUAAACACUUAAAAAAAAAGAAUCUCUUAUGGCUUGCCUCCCUCUCUGUUUUUAUCUUGUUUUUCCUUCCCUUCCUCUAUAUGCUAUUCUCUGUUCUUAAUAUGUCCCUGUAAUCACCUCCCGCCAACGGAACGGGGUUAGCACGUCAUUCAAAUCGCACCCAUACAGCCCUCGCUCCCUCAUUCCCCAAACACCUGCCGCCUCCAGUGAUCCUUGCUGAAUGGGGUAGUGGUUAGAUGCGUAGGUCCGGAAAUCCCACAGACCUGGGUUUGAACCCCCACCCUGUGUGAUGUUGGGCUAAGCUUCAGUCCUCUCAUAGGUAAAAUGGCACUAGACGCUGUUGCAAGGAUCAUUAAGUGAGGUAAUAUAUAUAUAUAUAUAUAUAUAUAUAUAUAUAUAUAUAUAGGUCUUUGCAUAGACCUUGGCACACAGUGGCCAUUCCAAAAUUCUCAUCUAAAAACAUGAGCCACAGAGAUGACCACCUCCCGGCCGGGUCCCUGCCUGGAUAACAGAACGUGGAAACAUCGAACACACAACUACGGUGGGCUGGGGGUGGCAUCUGAGGACAGAGACGAGAAAAGAAACAGUGCACAGGACAAUGGAGCUGAGUGUUAAACCUGUUUCCUCCUGUGACCUUUGAUCACGACCAGAGAUGUUCCUGAACCAUCUGGCUCAUUUCCACGAGCAGAGGGCACAGGUGAGCACCAGGGGUCUCAGCCUCGGG